CCUCGUUUUAGAUAGAUUGCAGAAAAUGUAUCUCCUUAAAGACAAACGACAACAGCAAGACCCCAGUAAUGACAAAAGCCAUGAGAAAUUUUGGUAGCAUAUGGGAAACUUCAAGGCUUCACAUCAUACUCAUUACAUAAUUAAAUAUACAAAACCUAUGGUAACUUUUGGUGGAUACAGUGGGACAGUUAUCAAAGAGAAUGUAUUUUUUGACAUCACAUAAAAAUAUACAUGUAAAUUGCUUUGAUCAUUAUUUUAUUGAUAAAUUCAUAUAAUUAUGACUAUUAUCAAAGGUUUGCAACAUUUUGUCUAAGCAACCACAUUCACUACUGCAUGCCCUUUUUCGGGUGGGCGGGGGAGUACACUCCCCAUUCUUCUUAAAUUUUUUUUUAGCAGAGAGCCUUAUCAUGAAGACACUUACACAGUAAAUCUUUUCAACAGCAGAAAGGAUAUAAUAUGCAAUAAUCCAGGUAUAAGUAAAUCUGAUAAACAUACUAUUCUAAGAGCUUUUUAUAUGGGCUUGCCCAUGUGGAUUCCAGGGAUCAGGUCACUGCUCUAGCCACACAGCUUUCAUUCAGCCUAAACAGCAACAUAUGUACACAGGCACACACACGUGUAAUACAGAUAUCCAAAUUCUUUAGCGUACCAUCCAUGGGCUUUCUUUGAGAAAGCGUGUUUCUUGGCUAUGGGAAUGGUAAGAGUGGCAUAACUCCCCAUUUUCUAAUUCUCCAAAACAUUGUCUCAGAUUAAAAUAUCCUCCUACAUUCAUACAUUAAGCAUUCUUUUCCUCGGGAGGGAUAUGACUGAAAACAGGUGACUUCUUACUAAGACCGGUCCUGAAUGACAAACAAGUCGCUGGCUGGAGGUUCUCUUUAAAGAAAAAAUCAUUAAGACAACUGAUGAUUCUGGGCCACAAUAGCACUUCCCUGGAGUAGUUAUUACACUUCCGUGAUGUCGCAGGACCAAGCUGUUCUAUUUGAAGAAAUGGGCAGUUUCUGAAAACUUCAUCAUAGAAAUGUUGAGGAUGCUUUUGGGGAGAUGACCACAGAUGGUGGUAUUAGGCACAAGAAACAUGUACAACCUGCGACUGCUCAGCUCCAUGCCUGCAUAGAAAGAGUGAUUGAUUUCCCUCUAGUCCACAUUUCUGUAUAACUGCCCCACUGCUGGCUUUCAGGAGACCAGAGUCAGAGAAAAAUCUCAGCAAUAACGUAACUCCGUAACAGCCUUGUCCACCCCCUCGGAAUGACUUCACACCCCAGACCUAACCUAUACCAUAGUCCCAAUAAUUCUAUUCUACCCGAAUUGGGCAUUCGAGCCGUAAAAACUGCUUUUAUUAAUAUUGAGGACAUGGUACUGAGAAGCACUGUCCUCUCACAUCAUAGACGAGUAUCUAUUUGUCUGAUAUCAUAUAUCUGAUUAUCGUCUUUUUGAAGUUUCUGAGCCACAUGGCCACUUUGACCCAACAGACCAGCAACCCAAUUUCCAACUCACCUGCAAAGCUUCGUAUAGUGGGUUUUCAUACACUACAUUCCACAUUUAUCCUGGCAUUAUAGUUUCCAAGGAAAGAGGAAUCCUGGGUAUCCUUCUCAGACCUGUUGGCAAAGGAAUGUGGCCAAUAAGACACAACCCUCUCAGCUUUUAAGUGAGUUUUACUUUCCUACCAGUGACUACCCCAGCUCCACUGUGUUCCUAGAACAUCCAGGAUAAAACCAGUACAUACUAGCUCAAGCACUUGGGUCCAGCGCUGAUAUUCUUUUCCCUGAUUCCCUUAGAAUCAUGUAGCCCAAGCUGAAACCCUGUAAGAAUCCCCUUUCUAUCCCUUCCUACUGAACCUUGUGAUUCUUCAUGGUGAAUGCUCUCACAGCAGAAGUUAAGAAAUCUGACCUGGGUUGACUAUAGAUCUGUUGCUGUUGGUCUACACCUGCUGUGCCUCAUUACAACUCCAGAAAAGGAAGGAGUGUGAGAGUAACCCAAGAGAGAACCAGCACAAUCUUCAGCCCCAUCUAUGCUGUUAGUGGUCAGAGAGAAGAUAAUUCAGGGCUCAUUUGGGGGUGGGGGGAGGAAGCUGGCAGAUGUCCCCUUUACUUUAUACACAUUUUUAACUAUUGUUAAAAUAUCUGAAAGAUUUUAGAAGAAAAAAAAAACCUUUCUUCUAAUGUGAAAAGAAAAAAAAUGAGGAUGGGGGAAACCCAUAACAGAGAAAGCUAUAACCUUAUGUAUUUUAUAUGAAUGUUAUAGAUAAUACAUAUAACAUUCUCAUAGCUAUCGUGUAGAUAUUUUGAAUGUUAAAAAAAUUUAGUGAUGUGAUCACAUCGUGCACCACAAUCCCUUGAAAUGAGAAGAGCACGAUUGGAAACAUUGCUUUUGAAGACCUCCUGGAAGAUUACAAGCAGAUUUGAUUGGCUCGGAUUCCAAGAGCAGAAAACACACGACCCGCGAGACACAGCGCGAGUGGGAGAGGGGCAGAGAGAGAGGGAGACACAGAACCUAAAGCCGACUCCGGGCUCCGAGCUGUCAGCACAGAGCCCAACGCAGGGCCGAACUCAUGAACUGUGAGGUCAUGACCUGAGCUGAAGUCAGAUGCUUAACUGACUUAUUAUCCAAGGGGAUAAUACAUUUUAAGGUAAUUUGUUUCAAAGCUAUAGUAAUGGGGAUAUUUUGUACAGGCGUGGAGUGAUACAAAUUAUAAAUAAAUAACAAACCCUGUUUAUCAGAUCAGACUAAGAGACUGUAAAAUCUUUUUUUUUCAAUGUUUAUUUAUUUUUCAACAGAGAGAGACAGAGCAUGAGCAGGGGAGGGGCAGAGAGAGAGGGAGACGCAGAAUCCAAAGCAGGCUCCAGGCUCUGAGCUGUCAGCACAGAGCCCGAUGCGGGGCUUGAACUCAGAGACCGUGAGAUCAUGACCUGAGCUGAAGUCAGACACUUAACCGACGGAGCCACCCAGGCGCCCCGAGACUGUAAAAUCUUUUAACACUUAAGGAAGAUCUAAGGCACCUUACAGAUUUUCAAACAGACAUAAGGUCCCUAAGGAUCACAAGGGAGUGCCUCACAGAUUCUUGCCAUUCAGCAAGAAGAUUCCGAGAGACCAAAUUAUUGUGUCACAGAAGCCCUGUGGGAAUCCCAAAGUGGAAAAGCAUGGAUUUGGAGAGAUUUGUGGGUGUACCUAUCGUCCAAUGACACUCGUUAUCAAUUGAAACACAGCCAACCCACUAAAUGUUCAAAGUCAUAGAUCAGUGUAGACUGAAAGUAAGAGAUAACCUGAAAUAAAGAGGCCAUUGGAGUCCCAAACUUUUCCAGAAAGCAAGCAGGUUGGGAAGACUAUGCAGCAGCUACACGAACUGCUUCUUGUGGGAAAGGAAGGACAAGUUAAAAGGCAGAACUAAGAAGUGCAGAGGAGAAAGUUGAAGCCAGCUGCCACGUUGAGCAGACAGCCUAGACCACCAUGGGGAGGCCCAUGUGGCUGUGAUGAGGAACUUCCACGUCCUUCCUGCCUAUGUCCAUACAAGCGACCCACGGUAGAAGCAGAUUCUCCGUCUCAAUGAAGCCGUCAGGUGACUUCAGGCCAGUUGAUAUCUUGACCACAUGGGAGACCCUGAGACCACUGAAUCUGCUUUCCAAUUCCUGAUUCACAAAAAGUGGUAAAAAACUAUUGUUGUUUAAUAACUAAUUAUGCAUCAACGGAAAACUAAAUUAACAAUGUAGAAGACGCAAUUGACAUCUCCAGUCUCCUUUGCAGAUAGAACAUGGGCACUUGAAUACAGCUGCCAAUCAGAAGCAAUGUGUGACAUGUUAAUCCUAAAGUGAAAAGCGAAAAGAUUCAGGCUCCGUGUGGAAAUUCCACGUUUUCUAGCUGAGGUGACGGUUUCCCAUGGUGGCAAGUUCAAGUUUCUGGCAAGGAAAUGGCACGAUCAAAUGGCCAUUCCUUCCAGUUCUUACCAAAGUCGGCAAAGGUGUGAAUGGAAUUAAUAAAACUAUUUAUGCUCCUUUUGCAUUUCAAGGCAGAUUAAAGGCGUAUGGACAUUUUGUAUCUCUUUACAGGUAUGGGUAAGACCCAAACAUUAA